GUCAACGAUAUUGAUAUGAGGAAGUAAUAUUAAAAGUGUGACGCACGUGUAGCGCGUUCAAAUUUUCAGUGCAACAGAUGAUAUUGGCGCUGCGAGUGGUGCUGUUGAUACUACAAACCUCUGCUAUCGAAAAGAGCAAGGAGGAUGGGAUAGAGAACCAGCCAACCGUACAGAUUUUUAGCAGCGCUAUCUGUUUAGCCAGGGAGGAACUACUUUAUAUAUUUGAGAAUCGACAAAUAACCAAUAUCACGUUGCAUUCAGCCAAGCAGCGUCAGAACCUAUUAACUUGCUAUUAACCUCUUUCGUGACGGCGUUCCCACGGUGUGCCCAGUAUUGUUCAACGCAAGUAGGAGUUCAACAUAGUCGUGUAUAAAAAAUACAACAUUAGCGAUUAAUAAUGCCGCGUAAGUGUGACGUGGUGAAUUGCCGAAAUCGUUUGGAGAAACACUUUCAUUUCUUCACGCUGCCGAAGAACGAAGAGCAUGCCGCGGAAUAGAUAAGAUUUUCAGGACGAGAGAAAACCAUCAACCGGAAAGAUUUUCGUAUCUGCAGCAAACAUUUUCCGCCAAACAAAAUUUGGAAACUGAAACCUCGUCCUCUUUUGACCCGCGAUGCUGUGCCAUCAUUGUACGGCCUAAAAAACGGAUCGGCUUCGAAGUCGUCCAGCAUCGAAGACAAAACUUCAGGACCGACUGUUGACAAUUUGCCACAGGAAAAUGAAGUAGUUCUUCAGAAUUUGGUAUGUGGCAGUAGUUUCGGUAAGAUUGUAAAACAGCAGUAUUAAUAACUUCUAAAACAAUCGUGAAUUUUUAGAGCCAUUGAAGGCUACAAUUUGUACAUACAGACAUCUAUUCUCGUUUAGUUAAAAAUAUCUAUUCAAUCAGAUCAAGUAUUUAGCAUUAUAAUAUACAGUAUACGAAGCGAAGUACAAAAAGACAAAAAAAAUAUGAAAAAUGACAAAGA